CAGUAGCCGCGGUAAUACAGAGGGUGCGAGCGUUAAUCGGAUUUACUGGGCGUAAAGCGUGCGUAGGCGGCUAAUUGAGUCGGAUGUGAAAUCCCCGAGCUUAACUUAGGAAUUGCAUUCGAUACUGGGAAGCUAGAGUAUGGGAGAGGAUGGUAGAAUUCCAGGUGUAGCGGUGAAAUGCGUAGAGAUCUGGAGGAAUACCGAUGGCGAAGGCAGCCAUCUGGCCUAAUACUGACGCUGAGGUACGAAAGCAUGGGGAGCAAACAGGAUUAGAUACCCCAGUAGUCCCUGUCUCUUAUAC
rnacentral:rRNA from 1 species